GAGCAUUAGGAGCCAAAAGCAAACAGCUUCCUGUCGGACAGACUGAAGCCUGGCUGGGCUAGUGACGGUAAAAAUCACUGACAGCACCAGCAAACACUGUCUGUGGUUUCAAAACCAUGGAGGGAAUGCAAGGGACGGGUCAGUAAAUAAAUGAACUCAGCAAAGCUGCUUCUUCCUCUUUUUCUUUUUCUUUUUUUUUUUUUGAGAGGAAAAAAAAGCCCACUGGAAUUGUCUAAACUGCAAUGCAAUCUCUUG
rnacentral:lncRNA from 10 species